rnacentral:rRNA from 1 species
AUUGAACGCUGGCGGCAGGCCUAACACAUGCAAGUCGAGCGGAUGAGAGGAGCUUGCUUCUCGAUUCAGCGGCGGACGGGUGAGUAAUGCCUAGGAAUCUGCCUGGUAGUGGGGGACAACGGUUCGAAAGGACCGCUAAUACCGCAUACGUCCUACGGGAGAAAGCAGGGGACCUUCGGGCCUUGCGCUAUCAGAUGAGCCUAGGUCGGAUGAGCUAGUUGGGGAGGUAAUGGCUCACCAAGGCGACGAUCCGUAACUGGUCUGAGAGGGAUGAUCAGUCACACUGGAACUGAGACACGGUCCAGACUCCUACGGGAGGCAGCAGUGGGGAAUAUUGGACAAUGGGCGAAAGCCUGAUCCAGCCAUGCCGCGUGUGUGAAGAAGGUCUUCGGAUUGUAAAGCACUUUAAGUUGGGAGGAAGGGUUGUAGAUUAAUACUCUGCAAUUUUGACGUUACCGACAGAAUAAGCACCGGCUAACUCUGUGCCAGCAGCCGCCGUAAAAC